ensembl:lncRNA
AAUUUUCAGUUUUGCUUUUCCAUUUGCUACUGUGUCCCAUUUUUUUUUUCUUAAAAACCAACAUGGCCAGGCCUGAAGCAUUGGUCUCUUCCUGAUGAGCUUACUCACUCAGCUGCUCAAGUGGGAUCCCAGCUGCUUGAGUAGUGAGAUGAGAUCUUGUUCCUACCUUUGAUGUUUUAGUUACCUGGCGAAGAGAGCAGUGGUCCAGUACUGGAACAGAAUUUCCUUGGCUUGGAAGGCAGAAAGGAAGAAUGCGUCAUCAGGAGUUGGAGACUGAACAACUAGUCUGCAAAUAUGUUGAAAUGCCGGUGGCUGGAAGAGGAAGCACUCAGCUAUAGAAUCAUAGAAUCACCAAGCCUGGCCUCCUUGAACUGUAGCUCAGAAGUGUGGGACUAGUGUCAUUCAUACCAGCUGAGGACUGAGAGCUCCCCAGGAAUUUUCCUUAAAAUAAACCAAAAACCAACGCUGUCUUCAAUGGAGAGAUACACUGCAAAGAAAAUCGUAGCUGGCUGCAAAGGAAUCAUCUUUCCUGUUUAGACUGUAGAUUACCAGUGUCCAUUACUGAACUUUCUGGAUCAUCCCAUGUCAACACAAAAUUAUUGCUACACCCUACACAUGUCUCCAGGCCUUCACCAAAGAAAGUUUCUCUUUUUAGGGAUAUUCAGUGGUUGAAAAUGAACCAGAAGAAAGAACUUCAGAAGAAAGAGCUGGGAAGGAUAGAAGAGAAAAAUGAAGUGAACUUUAAGGCAUGGCACCACUGCUGGACAAUCUGUUGGUGAGAGUUGUGAACCAUCCUGGGAGUAAAGAUGUCAGACAGCAGAGAUUUAAAGCUGGUAAAUGCUCCCAGCUUACCUUUCUGUCCACUGAAGAUUGGAGCUCUAUAAGGAGUCUGGGAACUGUUGGCCGUAAACUACCUGAAUCCAAUAUGCUAGUCAAGGAAAGUACAGCCACAGGAACAGCAGACUGAGAGAAAGCUGUGCAGGAACUUAAGAAACCCAUUGAACAUUUUGUCUAGUAAAAAGCAUUAAAAAUGCUAACAUGGAGGAAGAUGGGUGAAUCCUAAGAAACCAUAGCAAAAGAACAGAGGCAGUGAAGGUGUGACAAGAUUAAGACCAAGAUGGAGAAAGACGAAACCAGAGUUUCAGAGCUCUUGAGGACACCACAUGCCCAUGACCCUGCAGAAGAAACUGGAAAAACACCACUUCAACUUGUAAUUGGAUACAAGAUACUAAUUACAUAAAGCGUGCAUGUUGAUGGCACGACAUCAGUGCACUGAAAGACAGUCUCUCCUAGAUGACGUGCCUCCUGCAUGUCAAACUGAUGACUGUCUUUUGGUCAAGAACGCAUUCAGCUGGGAGUCUGACCAGUUUCAGCACGUUACUGGCAGGAGGCACUGCUCGAGUGGGUUCCUGUGUCCAACUCACACCGUCGUGCUGGAGCCCCGAUCUGUACGUUCUGCACUGCCACAGUGCCUCUCUCCAUUCUUAUUGUCAGAACUGUCCUGGUCUGCAAUUGUGUCUGUUUUCUGUAGCAAACGACUUUCACCUCUGGCAUAGUUCUGCACGUCUGGGUCAAUAGACUGCGCUGCCUUGACAGACAAUGAGGGACCUUUGUCCAGGCCGUGGCAGCACAUGAGAUCUCGCUCAGGUGCUGCUUCCCACCCUCGGUGCCCCCGCCAUGCCGCGUGCUGCUCGCUUCUGGGGGAACGCUUUGAGCCCUGCCAUAGGCCCUCAAAAGAGGAACUGCAGAGGCAUAAUGGCAUCUUGUGACGUAGAAGAGCAUCCUGCGUGCCAGGCAAUGUCAGCAAAGGCACUGUCCCCUUAUCUCUGUUAUGUAACCACGUCAAAACGGAGGUGAGUUUGUGAACCUGAUGCGGCUGGCUGCAGUUACGGCACUUCCCCGGGACGUGGGCAGAGGCUGCCUGCUGGGAAAAAAAUACCGCUUUGGUUUACAACUGACUUACGCUCUUCCAACUCUGAAGCAGAAACAUGGACAAAGAUAUAAAAGGCCAGAGGCUGGUUCAUGGCAAAAAGUGUGGGUCCUGCGGCAAACACCAUAGCCACAGGAUGGAGGAACACACGAGCCUCUUACACGAGCCUGCCGCAGAAGGGAAAGUUGCCCAAAGCUUGCUUCAGCAUGAAUGUGGCUUCUCUUCCACGGCGUGUGCCACACCUCUUGGCAAGGUGGAGGUUUGAGAAGGAAAGAUUCCUUUCUCCUGAGGUAACAGGAGUACAACUGGAAUAAAAAAAGGUGGCAGGCGGGAGAAUGCCGCGUCUGCAGAACAGAAUGCAGAGGAUGGGGUGGCAACUUCUGCGGGGCCUCCACUUGAUUUCCAGCUGUCUCCAGCCUCUGCCUCUCUCCCAUGGUUCCUUUCAUUAAAUCAAUGAACCUUGC